CAGCAGCCGCGGGAAUACAGAGGGGGCUAGCGUUGUUCGGAAUUACUGGGCGUAAAGCGUACGUAGGCGGCUUGGUAAGUUAGAGGUGAAAGCCUGGAGCUCAACUCCAGAAUUGCCUUUAAGACUGCCGAGCUAGCAGGUGUGAGAGGUAAGUGGAAUUCCGAGUGUAGGGGUGAAAUUCGUAGAUAUUCGGAAGAACACCAGUGGCGAAGGCGGCUUACUGGCUCAUACUGGACGCUGAGGUGCGAAAGCGUGGGGAGCAAACAGGAUUAGAUACCCGUGUAGUCCCUGUCUCUUAUAC
rnacentral:rRNA from 1 species